GGUUCCCUGCUGUUGAGUCUGCUGUGUUGGGGAGCGAGGCCUGGUAAGGCCUUGCUGACGUUGGGAGACAGAGGUUGCUGGUGAUCGUUCCAGCAUGACUUUCUGUUGUCCCAAGGAGAGUAAUGGUAAAUAGGCAAAGUGGUAGUGUGACACGUACUACCUAGGAAAAUGAAGAACUGAACCAGGAACAGAUCAAUCUACUUAACAACAGGAAACACGCAGGCUAGCUAUGAAUCUUGCAAACUAACAAACUGUAUCAGAUGAAUGUUUCAAGCCCUGGACUCCUGGUUUGGCAGUACUUUUGGUGUAGACACAAGCCAUAUUCGAUCUUAUUUUACUGUCUCUAAAGGAAAUCAAAGUGAACUGAUACAGAGAAAACAUUUUUUCUGCAACAAAUGCCCAAGCCCUAAUUCUUUUAAUACCCACUAACCCUGGUACAGGUGUUUAGAAACUGACAACACAGGGCAAAUAAUUAAGUAGCUAAAUCACUAACUUAGAAGAACCAGACAGAAUAUUAACAAAGCAUGUUUUUUCAACCUACUAGCUCAUGCAGCUUUACUGUGAACUGGAAAUUGGAUUUAUAUUCUCUGACCUCUACACUUCCUACCAAUAUCCUGCAAUUCUCCAAAUGAUAUGUAUGUUAAACAUUCAUUCUCGUCACGUAACUAUUGACAUGUACUACCUUGGUGUACCUCAGAGAAACAGCACUAACUUUAACAUGGCUGAAAAUUUGAUAUUGCUUCCUAUGAAUUACUCAACAUUUCCCAGAUUGUAAAAACGGAAAAGUCAUAAAGAGACUGAAAUAA